UUUCUUAUAAUUUUUUUUUUGGUUAAUUCCUUUUUUUUAGAAUUCUCAAUUGCAUCGUAAUCUUUUUCCGGUUUUUCAUAAAUUGAAUUGUAUGAUCAUGGGAAAAAAUGCCUUAUAUGCUAUUUGUGCCGGUGGCAACAGAAGUUUAGGCACAAACGGAAGCAACUUUGUUUCAGGCUUGAAGAAGACAUGCAAAACACAUGCAUUUAAACCCCCACCGUGAUCUUCUGCAGGGAAUUGACGACAAAGAUAAGCAUAGAGCCUCCAGAUUUUUGUAGGCAAUUAGGAAUUUUUUGGAUGAGAGGAGGAAAAUGUAUCAAAACUACGGAAGAUGCCGAAAAGGACCAAAUCAUUACGUGGUAGUGAAAGAUAGAGCAUUGGAACCGGUGGCUAGCAGCAACUCUUUUUUUUAAAGUGUGCUUAUUAUGUCUAAUAACAUGACUCACUCAAAUGAGACAUUUGUGGUAGCAUUCUUAAUAUGUUGUGAUCGUGGAGAUGUAUGAAGCACAUUGUCUCUCAAUAAUGGAUGUAUGACAUAUAUUUAUA